GCAGCUUCACCUGGAGGGAGGGGUGCUC
rnacentral:piRNA from 1 species